UACAGAGGUCUCAAGCGUUGUUCGGAUUCAUUGGGCGUAAAGGGCGCGUAGGCGGUGAGAUGAGUGUGAUGUGAAAGCCCUGGGCUUAACCUGGGAAGUGCAUCGCAAACGAUCUCACUGGAGUAUAAGAGAGGGUGGCGGAAUUUACGGUGUAGCGGUGAAAUGCGUAGAGAUCGGAAGGAACGUCAAUGGCGAAGGCAGCCACCUGGCUUAAUACUGACGCUGAGGCGCGAAAGCGUGGGUAGCGAACAGG
rnacentral:rRNA from 1 species